rnacentral:rRNA from 1 species
UACAGAGGUCCCGAGCGUUGUUCGGAUUUAUUGGGCGUAAAGGGUGCGUAGGCGGCGGAGUAAGUUGGGUGUGAAAUCCCGAGGCUCAACCUCGGAAUUGCAUUCAAUACUGCUUCGCUCGAGUACUGAAGAGGAGGCUGGAAUUUACGGUGUAGCAGUGAAAUGCGUAGAUAUCGUAAGGAAGGCCGGUGGCGAAAGCGAGCCUCUGGACAGUUACUGACGCUGAUGCACGAAGGCCAGGGGAGCAAACGGG